rnacentral:rRNA from 1 species
CAUGCAAGUCAGACGGAAUGUAGCAAUACAUUCAGUGGCGAACGGGUGAGUAACGCGUGGAUAAUCUACCUACGAGAUGGGGAUAACUAUUAGAAAUAGUAGCUAAUACCGAAUAAGGUCAAUUGAGGUGUUAAUUGAUGAAAGGAAGCCUUUAAAGCUUCGCUUGUAGAUGAGUCUGCGUCUUAUUAGCUAGUUGGUGGGAUAAGAGCCUACCAAGGCUAUGAUAAGUAACCGGCCUGAGAGGGUGAUCGGUCACACUGGAACUGAGAUACGGUCCAGACUCCUACGGGAGGCAGCAGCUAAGAAUCUUCCGCAAUGGGCGAAAGCCUGACGGAGCGACACUGCGUGAACGAAGAAGGUCGAAAGAUUGUAAAGUUCUUUUAUAAGUGAGGAAUAAGCUUUGUAGGAAAUGACAAAGUGAUGACGUUAAUUUAUGAAUAAGCCCCGGCUAAUUACGUGCCAGCAGCCGCGGUAAUACGUAAGGGGCGAGCGUUGUUCGGGAUCAUUGGGCGUAAAGGGUGAGUAGGCGGAUAUGCAAGUCUAUGUGUAAAAUACCACAGCUCAACUGUGGAACUAUGCUGGAAACUGCAUGACUAGAGUCUGAUAGGGGAAGUUAGAAUUCCUGGUGUAAGGGUGGAAUCUGUUGAUAUCAGGAAGAAUACCAGAGGCGAAGGC